rnacentral:rRNA from 1 species
UACGGGGGGUGCGAGCGUUGUUCGGAAUUACUGGGCGUAAAGGGCUCGUAGGCGGCCAACUAAGUCGGACGUGAAAUCCCCAGGCUCAACCUGGGAACUGCGUCCGAUACUGGAUGGCUUGAAUCCGGGAGAGGGAUGCAGAAUUCCAGGUGUAGCGGUGAAAUGCGUAGAUAUCUGGAGGAAUACCGGUGGCGAAGGCGGCAUCCUGGACCGGCAUUGACGCUGAGGAGCGAAAGCCAGGGGAGCAAACGGG